UACCAAAUUUGGUGCCAGAAGACUCGGUAAGGCCAGAGACGCAAACGUUAGUCGUCUUAAUCAGGCGUAAAGGGUAUGUAGGCUGCUUUAAAUCAAUUAAAGCUAGGAUCAAAUUGAGGAUAAACCAAAUAAUACUUAGUGUAGGGUUGAUAUCUAUAGAUACUAAGGGGAAUACUAAAGGUGAAAGCUUUUUAUCUACUAAUGAUUGACGCUGAGAACA
rnacentral:rRNA from 1 species